rnacentral:rRNA from 1 species
AAAUACCACCCUUUAAUGUUUGAUGUUCUAACGUUGACCCGUAAUCCGGGUUGCGGACAGUGUCUGGUGGGUAGUUUGACUGGGGCGGUCUCCUCCUAAAGAGUAACGGAGGAGCACGAAGGUUGGCUAAUCCUGGUCGGACAUCAGGAGGUUAGUGCAAUGGCAUAAGCCAGCUUGACUGCGAGCGUGACGGCGCGAGCAGGUGCGAAAGCAGGUCAUAGUGAUCCGGUGGUUCUGAAUGGAAGGGCCAUCGCUCAACGGAUAAAAGGUACUCCGGGGAUAACAGGCUGAUACCGCCCAAGAGUUCAUAUCGACGGCGGUGUUUGGCACCUCGAUGUCGGCUCAUCACAUCCUGGGGCUGAAGUAGGUCCCAAGGGUAUGGCUGUUCGCCAUUUAAAGUGGUACGCGAGCUGGGUUUAGAACGUCGUGAGACAGUUCGGUCCCUAUCUGCCGUGGGCGCUGGAGAACUGAGGGGGGCUGCUCCUAGUACGAGAGGACCGGAGUGGACGCAUCACUGGUGUUCGGGUUGUCAUGCCAAUGGCACUGCCCGGUAGCUAAAUGCGGAAGAGAUAAGUGCUGAAAGCAUCUAAGCACGAAACUUGCC